rnacentral:rRNA from 1 species
UACGGGGGGAGCAAGCGUUGUUCGGAUUUACUGGGCGUAAAGGGCGCGUAGGCGGCCACCGCAAGUCGGUUGUGAAAUCUCCGGGCUUAACCCGGAACGGUCAAUCGAUACUGCGGGGCUAGAGUGCAGAAGGGGCAACUGGAAUUCUCGGUGUAGCGGUGAAAUGCGUAGAGAUCGGGAAGAACAUCAGUGGCGAAGGCGGCCUGCUGGGCUGUUGCUGACGCUGAGGCGCGACAGCGUGGGGAGCAAACAGG